UGGGUAGAGAAAACAUGAACUGAAAAAAUGGUUCUAAUAGGAGGUGCACCAGUAACUGUUAUAUAUUUUGUUGCUAUUGUGACAUACCAAUAGUCAUAUGACAUAUAUACAGAGACAGAGCAUACACAGAGGCAAGUUCAGGGGAAGUGGCAAGUGAAGGGUCAGGGUACUUAUCUUCAAUAAGACCCACAAUAGCAUCACAAUCAGAUAUCCAAUUCUCAUCAAAUUUGGCCAAAGGAACUUUCCCAUCUGGGUUCACUUC
rnacentral:lncRNA from 1 species